UUUCAACAUAGUAGUACAACAACAACAAGCGCGCGCCAAAUAUGGCCGAUUGAGGAAAGACACAAUGAAUUUCUCGCAAGUUAGCAGUCAGAAUAGCUUUGUAUCAAUGUAUAAUGCAGACCAACUUGUUCAAUUAACAUUUCGGGGCAUACUUCUGCAAGGAAUACUUGGUACGGUAACACAAAAAUGUGAAAAUUUCAAAAAUCGGAGCCCAGGAAAUGAGGAUUUUCCAAGGGCGCCAUUUUCCAACGUCUUUUUUUUUCAAAUUCAAAAGUUGACGAAAGCCCAGUAAUUUCUCUCAUCCGCCGGCCUGAUCAAGUGUGAGUGGGACAAUCACCGUUACUACAUCGAGCCCAUCGCCUUCGACAUGCAGCUAGUCCAGAGAUACUGCAUCGACGUUAAGGCUAACUCCUCAGUCACUGAGGUACACAGGGUGUUGAAAGCAUCAACAUUCUUGAGGAGUUGAGGCACCUGUCGGUAACCAAGGAAGCUCUCGUAUCAAAGGAGAACAUGGGGGAUGAUGGGAUAGGUGACAAGGAUUGGACGGUCAUCAGGGCACAAAGCUCAACAGCAGAAGUUUACGGGGAUAAGGAAAACUGGUCCUGACUGAGGAAUGUGAACUUGUGACUUUGCAGGAGGUCAUCAAUGGUAGCCUGGAGGUCACCACGACACACGUGUACUUCUUCGACUGUAGCACCAUUAGGGAAGAUGGUGGUGAGGAUUUCAAGUGGAGUCUGCCUCAGCUGCGCGAGAUCCACUUCCGGCGCUACAACCUGCGCAGAUCUGCCCUGGAGAUGUUCCUAGUGGACCAGACCAACUACUUCCUUAACUUUGAGAAAAAUGUUGGAAUUUCUGUUGUUGUUGUU